rnacentral:rRNA from 1 species
AGAGUUUGAUCAUGGCUCAGGACGAACGCUGGCGGCGCGCCUAACACAUGCAAGUCGAACGGAGCUUGACAGACGGAAGCCUUCGGGCGGAAGACAAUCAAGCUUAGUGGCGGACGGGUGAGUAACACGUGAGCAACCUGCCUUUCAGAGGGGGAUAACGUCGGGAAACUGACGCUAAUACCGCAUAACAUACGGUUUUCGCAUGGGGACUGCAUCAAAGGAGCAAUCCGCUGAAAGAUGGGCUCGCGUCCGAUUAGCUGGUUGGAGUGGUAACGGCACACCAAGGCGACGAUCGGUAGCCGGACUGAGAGGUUGAACGGCCACAUUGGGACUGAGACACGGCCCAGACUCCUACGGGAGGCAGCAGUGGGGGAUAUUGCACAAUGGGGGGAACCCUGAUGCAGCGACGCCGCGUGAGGGAAGAAGGUUUUCGGAUUGUAAACCUCUGUCCAUAGUGACGAUAAUGACGGUAGCUAUGGAGGAAGCCACGGCUAACUACGUGCCAGCAGCCGCGGUAAUACGUAGGUGGCAAGCGUUGUCCGGAAUUACUGGGUGUAAAGGGAGCGUAGGCGGGACAGCAAGUUGGAUGUUUAAACUAUCGGCUCAACCGAUAAUCGCAUUCAAAACUGCAGUUCUUGAGUGAAGUAGAGGCAGGCGGAAUUCCUAGUGUAGCGGUGAAAUGCGUAGAUAUUAGGAGGAACACCAGUGGCGAAAGCGGCCUGCUGGGCUUUAACUGACGCUGAGGCUCGAAAGCGUGGGUAGCAAACAGAUUAGAUACCCUGGUAGUCCACGCCGUAACG